rnacentral:rRNA from 1 species
GACGAACGCUGGCGGCGUGCCUAAUACAUGCAAGUAGAACGCUGAAGGAGGAGCUUGCUUCUCUGGAUGAGUUGCGAACGGGUGAGUAACGCGUAGGUAACCUGCCUGGUAGCGGGGGAUAACUAUUGGAAACGAUAGCUAAUACCGCAUAAUAGUAGAUGUUGCAUGACAUUUGCUUAAAAGUUGCAAUUGCAUCACUACCAGAUGGACCUGCGUUGUAUUAGCUAGUUGGUGAGGUAACGGCUCACCAAGGCAACGAUACAUAGCCGACCUGAGAGGGUGAUCGGCCACACUGGGACGGAGACACGGCCCAGACUCCUACGGGAGGCAGCAGUAGGGAAUCUUCGGCAAUGGACGGAAGUCUGACCGAGCAACGCCGCGUGAGUGAAGAAGGUUUUCGGAUCGUAAAGCUCUGUUGUAAGAGAAGAACGAGUGUGAGAGUGGAAAGUUCACACUGUGACGGUAUCUUACCAGAAAGAGACGGCUAACUACGUG